rnacentral:rRNA from 1 species
GACGAACGCUGGCGGGCUUCUUAACUGAAAGAAGUCCAGCAAAGAGCCGCUUCUUUGGGGGGCUGCUGUGGUGAACAGGUGAGUAACAAGAGAGUAACAUGCUCCCGUUUACUUUAUAAUUUCUUCAGAAAAGUGGGAAUACUGCCUAGGAGCAGCUGCUGCUUGGUGGUGGGUGGAGAAUUUUGGCGGUUGGGGAUGGACUCGCGGCUUCUCAGCUUGUUGGUGGGGUAGUGGCUUACCACGGCUUUGACGGGUAGCCGGCCUGAGAGGGUGACCGGCCACAUUGGGACUGAGAUACGGCCCAGACUCCUACGGGAGGCAGCAGUGGGGAAUAUUGCACAAUGGGCGGAAGCCUGAUGCAGCAACGCCGCGUGCGGGAUGACGGCCUUCGGGUUGUAAACCGCUUUCGCCUGUGACGAAGCGUGAGUGACGGUAAUGGGUAAAGAAGCACCGGCUAACUACGUG